rnacentral:lncRNA from 1 species
CUGGUCUAAUUAGCAUACACAGCUGAAAUUUAGGGACCUGGGAUGAAGAAAAAAGAGAGGGAGACAUCCACUUAAAUCUCUUUGUCAGGCAGUGGCAUAGGAAGUUGUAAAGACUUGCAGUGCAGAGCCCAAGGUGGAAAUGUUCUCCCAUUUCCAAGACCAGCAGAGCACCCUGUAUCCUACAUGAGAGCACCCACCUCUUCUUUUCAAGCCAAGCCAUGAAAACAAAGGAGAACCGAGCAGCAGCCAGCAGAGACACCCCAAAGUGAUGCAGCCGUACCAGCAACGGGGAACUCAUCCCUGGUGAUACCAGGAGAAAUCCCAACUCAUCUCCAGGACACUGAAGCAGAGUGUAGGAGCCUGUAGUCCUCCACUGGGGUUGCUUUGGGAGAGGCUGACCCAGCUGGACUGCAGUGGUAGGGACUGCAGCAAAGAGCCUGAGCAACAUUCAAGAAAGCUGAUGAGUUGACUGGCAUCAGAGACUGUCCAAACCAAGGAGUCAGAUGGAAAGGACCACGAGGGAAAUUGGGCUGCAUACCCAAGAGAAGGCUUUGAAACAAUGCAAUCCCAUUUUCACAACGUCCAGCAUGGAGAUGUGAUGUCCAAAUCUCCAGUACCACUGUGCUUGCACAGGCAGAGCCUUGCCAGCUUUUCAGUCAGGCUGAGGCUGAAUUUGCCACAAGAGCAAGUCCUAGGAUGUGCAUUCAAGACGAGGAACAGGACCUUGUCCCACAGAGAACUUUUCCACCAAGCAAGCCCAGGGUGUCAGACUAGGAGCCUGUUUCUGUUUUCUGCAUUACAUUCAGCUCAAUCAAUCAUUCAAUGGCUUCCAUCCUUAUUUUUCCUCUGUCCUUUCCAGUCAGACUUUGUUCUCUUCAGACUGGUGGUGGGUUUGUGCCUGGUACAGAGGGUGCUCACCUGAGCCAGGGACAUGAUGGUUGCUGUCAUGCUAAUCAUAAUUUUCCUCAGAAAGGAAAUAGCAAAUGCCUUUGUGUCUUGUUCUCCUGCCCUUGUGCUCCCAGACCCCUGCUCUGAGGACAGGACACUUCCCCUCUGCCUCCUUUUGCUCUGAUUUGCCUUGCCUUCCCCAAGCCCUACUGCUAACUGCACUCUCACUGAUUAUUUUCUUUUCAGAGGCUGUAAACUUCAGUUCCUGCUCAGCUUGCAUUAGUGUCAGAGAAGUAUCUCUUGGCUGUUUACAGAAGAGAAAAUGGAAAGAUGAGCAUUAUUUCAUGUGAAAUAUGGUAGAGAGCCUAUGCUGAGUUUCUCUGUGAGGCCUGAGGCUCCAGCUACCUGAAGAAGCUGGUGAAAGCAUCCGUCAUCUGGUGAUUCAUCUCCCCCUGCCAUGGCUCUGGCCCUGCUCUGCGUGGGUGUCUCACAGCUCUCAUCAACUCUGGUUUUGAUGCAGACCAGGAGCUGCUGGGCUGUUCGCCCAAGUUUAUCUUGUAUGAAAGAGUUUGCUUGCUUUUCAAUUGUCUGGUGUUCUCCUGAAGAUGUAAAUUAAAAAAAAUAAAAAAAAAAAUAAAAAAAACAGGUUUUCUUGUAGAUUGCUUUUCAGCUGUUUCUACUAGGAGUGAGAAAAUGGGGAUUGGUGCUCAAGGGAUGUCUCUGGUGCGAGGUCAUACCAGUCCAAUCCCUUCUUGGAAAGAG